rnacentral:rRNA from 1 species
GACAGAGGCCUCGAGCGUUAGGCGGAAUCACUGGGCUUAAAGCGUGUGUAGGCGGGCCCGUAAGUGUCUUGUGAAAUCCCACGGCUCAACCGUGGAACUGCUGGGCAUACUGCGGGUCUUGGGCCAACUAGGGGCAGCCGGAACAAGCGGUGGAGCGGUGAAAUGCGUAGAUAUCAGGAGGAACACCGGUGGCGAAGGCGGGUCUCUGGGCAGUAACUGACGCUGAGGAGCGAAAGCGUGGGGAGCGAACAGG